rnacentral:rRNA from 1 species
GACGCACCGAGCGAACGUUAUUCGGAAUCACUGGGCUUAAAGGGCGCGUAGGCGGGCCGCCAAGUCAGGGGUGAAAGCCCCCAGCUCAACUGGGGAAGUGCCUUUGAUACUGGCGGUCUCGAGGGGGAUAGGGGCGUGCGGAACUUCCGGUGGAGCGGUGAAAUGCGUAGAUAUCGGAAGGAACACCGGUGGCGAAAGCGGCGCGCUGGAUCCCUUCUGACGCUGAGGCGCGAAAGCCAGGGGAGCGAACGGG